rnacentral:rRNA from 1 species
GAUGAACGCUGGCGGCGUGCCUAAUACAUGCAAGUCGAGCGAACGGACGAGAAGCUUGCUUCUCUGAUGUUAGCGGCGGACGUGUGAGUAACUCUUGGAUAACCUACCUAUAAGACUUGGCUAACUUCGUGAAACCGUAGCUACUACCGUAUAAUAUAUUUAUCCGCAUGGUUCAAAUGUGAAAGCCGGUCUUGCUGUCACUUAUAGAUGUAUCCGCUAUGCAUUAGCUAGUUGGUAAGGUAACGGCUUACCAAGGAAACGAUGCAUAGCCGAACUGAGAGGGUGAUAGGCCACACGGGAAAUGAGACACGGUACAGACUCAUACGGGAGGCAGCAGUAGGGAAUCUGCCGCAAUGGGAGAAAGCCUGACGGAGCAACGCAACGUGAGUGAAGAAGGUCGUCGGAUCGUAAAACCCUGUUAUUAGGAAAGAACAGAUGUGUAAGUAACUGUACACAUCUUGACGGAACAUAAUCAGAAAGCCACGGCUAAUUACGA